CCACGGACUAAUGGUUGGCCUACAAGGGCAGAUCGAUCUGGCGAUUCUGAACUAACCUACUACUAUACUCACUUUGAAAGGACUGUGUUCUAGUUACAGGUAACUGGCAGCUUCACCAUCCUACUACUACUGUAAUCACUGCUCACUUUGAAAGGACUGUGUUCUAGUUACAGGUAACCAGGUCUUCAGCUUCACCAUCCUACAACUACUAUGAUCACUGCUCACAUUGAAAGGACUGUGUUCUAGUUACAGGUAACUAGGCCUUUAGCUUCGAUCACCAUGGACCCGUCAGAGUCCUCCGAAGGCAAAUUCUCUUUGCUGUCGGUCCAACUUGUCGGCUCAUUCUCUCUAGAACCUGCAGAAACCAUUAACAGUGCAUUAUUAGACUUUUACGCGGUGGUGUCUUGAAGCCAGAGGAAAAUCUCAAACUAGGAAACGAAAAGCUUGGAAACUUCUCUCCCAAAUUUACCAGGAACAAUUGUCAGAUAGUAUGCUGACAGAAAAAUAAGGAACCCCAUUUUGAAGUCAUUAAAACCCAACCAAAGGACAACAUAAAUUAAAUAGAAUUGAGUGGUGAUUUGCUUUUUCAAAAAUGAAUUGUACAGUUUAUGAUAACAUCAGAGGCUCCAUUGUUUUCCUUUUUACCAAAAUACAAUUAUGUCGAGUAGAAGUGGCAAGAGUCUACAAGAGGCUCUUUCUCAGAAAUAGAAAUACCAAGUAUGUGUGCUACAUACCAGUAUUAGUUAGAGCAAGCAUUCAGUAAUUCAGUUUUUGUCCAAUCCACAUUUUUUCAGGGUUAGAGUAGCCUCUAAAAAACUGAUGAUUCUAAGUUUCAAACCAUUUGUGGCACUCCCUUAGCUUCUGUACACAUUCAAACUAGUGGUCUAAGAUGUGGAAAAACAACUAGGACAUGGAGGGAGUGCGGUUUGAAAUUCUGCCGCCUCAGUGUUAUGAGAACAUAUCCCUUUUUACAGAGAACAGUCAGUCUUCUCAGCAGAGUUUACAACGAUUGGCCUAAGGAGGUAUCCACAGAUUUUACAGUGUUGAGAGAUGUGUUAACUUCAUGUAAAGUUCAGUCAAAAUUGUCAGUUAAAUUGAUUGUAACAAACAAUAUUGACAGUUUCACAAUUGUCUAUCCUGUCAUAACUUUUUUAAGUGUUAUGUUGUGGAAAAUACAGUUAUACCCCACUACGAUGGAAACAUAGGCAUUAAACUAUACACACAUCAAAUAACUGUUUUUUGAAUAAACUUUAAUAUUUGCUUGCCCUUCCAAUGUUGCAUUUAGUUAAAACUGUAUUAUUAUAGAUGAAAUAUCAUUUAAAUGGUUAUAAUUCAACAAUGAUGGCAGUUGACUGAUCAAUUCAAAGAAUUUCUUUUUUAGUUUAAGCCAUUUAAAUGCUGCCACCUAACCCCUGAUGUAGGAAAAUGCAAUCAAUCACAUCGACAUCAGUCCUUGCCUCAUUAUUUCUCAACCCCCCACAAAGCUUUACUUCAUCAUUGCUUAAAAUCCCAUACUAUAAGGUAAUAGUGUGAAAGCCAAAACUCACGACCAGUAGCUAUCAAUCAGAACAUAACGUUUGACAUUCAAACAAGUGAAUCAAUAAUUGUUAAUAUACACAGCAUACAUUUUCCUAACAAUAAUUGUUAAAAUUCACACCAUACAUUACGAGCGAAAAAUAAUCAUAGAGCAGAGCAUAUGUAUGAUAUUGACAGAUUAGGCUGUAAUACUCAUGUAAAGGGUAAAACUAUCAGAUUUUACAGAGUAAAACUUUUUGGUAAACAAGUAAGCUAUCAGUAAAACAGAGCAUGCCUAGGUUGCACAGCUUCGUUUUGUUUCUUGUUUGACAUUAAUAAGCAAAACAUAGUACCUAUCCAGAGCAAAA
rnacentral:lncRNA from 1 species